AACGAACGCUGGCGGCAUGCCUAACACAUGCAAGUCGAACGAGACCUUCGGGUCUAGUGGCGCACGGGUGCGUAACGCGUGGGAACCUGCCCUUAGGUUCGGAAUAACUCCCCGAAAGGGGUGCUAAUACCGAAUAAUGUCUUCGGACCAAAGAUUUAUCGCGUUUGGAUGGGCCCGCGUUGGAUUAGCUAGUUGGUAGGGUAAAAGCCUACCAAGGCGACGAUCAAUAACUGGUCUGAGAGGAUGAUCAGCCACACUGGGACUGAGACACGGCCCAGACUCCUACGGGAGGCAGCAGUGGGGAAUAUUGGACAAUGGGCGAAGUCCUGAUCCAGCAAUGCCGCGUGAGUGAUGAAGGCCUUAGGGUUGUAAAGCUCUUUUACCCGGGAUGAUAAUGACAGUACCGGGAGAAUAAGCUCCGGCUAACUCCGUG
rnacentral:rRNA from 1 species